UACGUAGGGUCCGAGCGUUGUCCGGAAUUAUUGGGCGUAAAGAGCUCGUAGGCGGUUUGUCGCGUCUGCUGUGAAAUCCCGAGGCUCAACCUCGGGUCUGCAGUGGGUACGGGCAGACUGGAGUGCGGUAGGGGAGAAUGGAAUUCCUGGUGUAGCGGUGGAAUGCGCAGAUAUCAGGAGUAACACCGAUGGCGAAGGCAGUUCUCUGGGCCGUAACUGACGCUGAGGAGCGAAAGCGUGGGGAGCGAACAGG
rnacentral:rRNA from 1 species